AAUCUAGCAUCCCUGUUAGCAGGCAAAGGCAGUAGGCCAGUUGUGGCAACUCCUAAUGAGUUUGGCCCAUCUCAGGGGUACUUUGUUUUUCAUACGCACCUUCCAACUACCAAAAAAUAUAUGCCUGUAUCCUAAGAAUAGAAAGUCAGGUACUAUAGCAGAUAAAGAGGAAUGAUAUUGGGGGUGGGCUCCUUUCCAGUAUCCUUCACUUCUCACAUGUGAAGGGGCUCUUGAUUGAGGCAUUUCCUGUUUAUGUUGGAGGAUUGAGCCUCAGGGGCAUGGAUGGGAUAUCCACAAAGAGCAGCUCUAUUCUGGCUGAUCCCAAGCUCAUUCAGGGUGACUCUCAAGGACUCUCUAAUACUGGAUGAAGAGCAGUGGUCCCCAACCUUCUUGGCACCUGGGUUUUGUGGGAGACAAUUUUUCCACAGACUGAGGCAAGAGGAUGGUUUUGGGAUGAUUCGAGUGCAUUACAUUUAUUGUGCACUUUAUUUCUAUUAUUAUUACAUUGUAAUAUAUAUUGAAAUAAUUAUACAACUCAUCAUAAUGUAGAGUCAAUGGGAGCCCUGAGCUUGCUUUUCUGCAACUAGAGAGUCCCAUCUGGGAGUGAUGGGAGACAGUGGCAGAUGAUCAGGCAUUAAAUUCUCAUGUGGGGUGCACAACCCAGAUUCCUCGCAUGCACAGUUCACAAUAGGAUUUGCGCUCCUAUGAGAAUCUAAUGCCACCUCUGAUCUGACAGGAGGCAGAGCUCAGGUGGUAAUGCAAGCAAUGGGGAGUGGCUGUAAAUACAGAUGAAGCUUCACUCACUUGCCCUCUGCGCAUCUCCUGCUGUGCAGCCUAGUUCCUAACAUGUCACAGACUGAGGUAGAGGACGCUUUAGAGAUAUUCCUACCUUCUCUGUCUUUUUUUUUUUUUUUUUUUGAGACAGAGCCUUGCUCUGUCACCCAGGCUGGAGUGCAGUGGCACAAUCUCAGCACACUGCAACCUCCGCCUUCCAGGUUUAAACAAUUCUUGUCCCUCAGCCUCCUGAAUAGCUGGACUACAGGUGUGUGCCACCACAUGCAGCUAAUUUUUUUUUUCUGCUUUGUGUUUUUUUUUAGUGGAGUUGGGGUUUCAUCAUGUUUCCCAGGCUGGUCUCAAACUUCUAAGCUCAGACAAUCUGCCUGCCUUGGCCUCCCGAAGUGUUGGAAUUACAGGUGUGAGCCACUGCACCCAGUACCCCUACAUUCUCUUUUUUAUAGAUGGGGAAACUGAGGCCCAGAGAGGGCAAGAUGUGCAUGCUCUGUCUGUUGUUUUGAUGAUGACUAUGUUAGGACAGAGGUCUACAGUUCCUUGAGGUGAUAAACAGCCUAUGAGCUAAGCGCUCUGUGGAUUAUUUACUCUUCACAACAGUUCUGUAAGACUGGACCGUAACAGUUCUAUAAAUAUGGACUAUUACUGUCCAUAUUUAAUAGACAAGGAAACUGAGAUUCAGAGAGGCAUAAUUUACAGAGGUGGUAAGUGGUGGAGCUGGGUUCAAAUCUAGGCCUGUUUAAAGAUCCCCCACACUGUGGGAAGAAUUCAGGCAUCAGAUAGAGAUCCCUCUAACAUCUCCAUUCUGUGAAUAACUGAGGCUGGGAUUCACAUAAGCCUCCAACCCCUGGGGUCCGUCUCCCAUGCCUCACCCAAGCGCACACAGGCCAGGCAGAUCCAGUAGGCUUCAGGUGUUGGGGGCAAGAUUAUCAUCAGCCGGUCUCCAUGGCUAAGGGCACAGGUGUCUGAGAGGAUGCUGGCGGCCUUCUUGGAGAGUUGAGUCAUCCUUUCAAAGCUCCAUUUGUCCUCUUCUCCUUUGGCACUAACCUUCCAGAGGGCGGGGUAAGGCCCUCUGAGUCCGUCCUAGGCAGGGUGAUGUUUAAAAUAUGAAUAUUAGUCAGCAUGGACAUUGGCUAUGGGAGGCCACUGUUGCCAGACAGCACCCUCAAGUGGCUAGAUCUUGAGAGGCUAGGAUGCCUGGGCUUAGGGGGAGCUACUGUUUCUCAACUGGCACAGAAAUAUUUACUGUUUACUGACAUGGCAGUACUGGUAGGUUUCAACAUAAUGUCAGGCAUGAGCCUAGGGAAGAACCUCCUGAGAGAACUCAGCAUGUAACGUGAAACCAGCCCUGCCCAGGAUGGCAGAGAUUUCUCUGGGCAUAAAUCCCACUACUGGGUGUCUACCCAAAAGAAAAGAAAUCAUUAUAUAAAAAAGACACCUGCAUUCAUGUGUUUAUGGUAGCACUCUAUUCACAAUAGCAAAGUGAUGGAAUCAACCUAAGGGUCCAUCAGUGGAUGAUUGGAUAAAGACAAUGUGGUAUACAUACAACAUGGAAUAUUACUCAGCCAUGGAAAAGAAUGAAAUCCUGUCUUUUGCAGCAACAUGGAUGGAGCUGAAGGCCAUUAUCCUAUGGGAAAUAACUCAGAAACAGAAAAUCAAAUACUGCCUGUUUUCACUUAUAAGUGGGAGUUAAACAGUGGGUACAUAUGGACAUAAAGAUGGAAAUAAUAGACAUUGGGGAGGCUGGAGGGGAGUGAAGUUUGCAAAAUUACCUAUUUGGUACUAUGGUCACUGUUUGGGUGAUGAGUACACUAGAAGCUCAAGCCUCACCAUUGUGCCAUCUAUACAUGCAACAAACCUGCACAUGCACCUCCUGAGUCUAAAUUUUUUUAAGAAAAGAUUUCUCAGGGCAUGAUCCUGUAAGUAGAGAAGAGUGCCCUCCUCCUAGCGGAUAGGAUUCUAUUCCUGCCUUCAAAUAUACCUGUCUUCCAAUGCAACUUAUUUUUCAGUGGGACGAGUUUUGAAGGGGAAAGAAUUUAAUUUCCAAUACCUCUUAGUGAAUGCAUGGAUGAAGUUACCUAGAACUUUCAAAGCAUUUCCAUUCUAGCUGAGCCUUCUCCUCCUUAACAACACGGGUUUGUCCUCUUCUCUCCCUGAGGAUGGAGGGAAGGAAGGCUCUUUUCUCCCUUUUUUCCUUCUUUCCCUCCUUUAUUCCUUUUUUCCUCCUUUCUGUCCUCUCUCUCUCUCAUCUCUUUCCCCCAUCUCUCGCCUCUUUCCCCAUCCCUCCUUUCCUUCUCUCCUACCUUCUGAACUUAACUUCUUUCUUCCUUUACAACUUUCUUCCUCCUUUUAUCUCUUUCUCUUGCCUUUCUUCUCUUUUUCUCAUCCACCCUGGAGCAGCCCAUAGAAUUGCUACUUUGUUCUGACCUGUUUAGAGUCUUCUUCUUCUUCUCCUUCUCCUUCUCCUUCUUCUUCUUCUUUCUUCAUCUUCUUCUUCCUCUUCCUCUUCUUUCUUCUUCUUUUCAUCUUCUUCUUCUUCCUAUUCUUCCUCUUCCUCUUCUUCUUCUUUUCUUCUUCUUCAAGUUUUAGGGUACAUGUGUACAAUGUGCAGGUUUGUUACAUGUGUAUACAUGUGCCAUGUUGGUGUGCGGCACCCAUUAACUCGUCAUUCAGCAUUAGGUAUAUCACCCAAUGCUAUCCCUCCCCCCUCCCCCCACCCCACAACAGUCCCCAGAGUGUGAUGUUCCCCUUCCUGUGUCCAUGUGUGCUCAUUGUUCAAUUCCCACCUAUGAGUGAGAACAUGUGGUGUUUGGUUUUUUGUCCUUGCGAUAGUUUGCUGAGAAUGAUGGUUUCCAGCUUCAUCCAUGUCCCUACAAAGGACAUGAACUCAUCAUUUUUUAUGGCUGCAUAGUAUUCCAUGGUGUCUAUGUGCCACAUUUUCUAAAUCCAGUCUAUCAUUGUUGGACAUUUGGUUCCAAGUCUUUGCUAUUGUGAAUAGUGCCUCAAUAAACAUACAUGUGCAUGUGUCUUUAUAGCAGCAUGAUUUAUAAUCCUUUGGGUAUAUACCCAGUAAUGGGAUGGCUGGGUCAAAUAGUAUUUCUAGUUCUAGAUCCCUGAGGAACGGCCACACUGACUUCCACAAUGGCUGAACUAGUUUACAGUCCCACCAACAGUGUAAAAGUGUUCCUAUUUCUCCACAUCCUCUCCAGCACCUAUUGUUUCCUGACUUUUUAAUGAUCACCAUUCUAACUGCUGUGAGAUGGUAUCUCAUUGUGGUUUUGAUUUGCAUUUCUCUGAUGGCCG
rnacentral:lncRNA from 1 species